CUACUUGACUGGCAGGGAGGCAUGAUGGUCAUGAAGGUGAUUUCCUAGGUAGGGCCUCAUUCCUUGUACUUCUGGUGACCUGACCACUGAAAAUUCUGUGAUCUAGGGAACUACACUGUAAAAUUUGUAAUGUGAGAUACUGUAUAUGUAUGUUUUCUUA
ensembl:snRNA U1 U1 spliceosomal RNA